rnacentral:rRNA from 1 species
GUAGGUGGCAAGCGUUGUCCGGAAUUAUUGGGCGUAAAGCGCGCGCAGGCGGUUCUUUAAGUCUGAUGUGAAAGCCCACGGCUCAACCGUGGAGGGUCAUUGGAAACUGGAGAACUUGAGUACAGAAGAGGAAAGCGGAAUUCCACGUGUAGCGGUGAAAUGCGUAGAGAUGUGGAGGAACACCAGUGGCGAAGGCGGCUUUCUGGUCUGUAACUGACGCUGAGGCGCGAAAGCGUGGGGAGCAAACAGGGAUUAGAUACCCUGGUAGUCCACGCCGUAAACGAUGAGUGCUAAGUGUUAGGGGGUUUCCGCCCCCUUAGUGCUGCAGCUAACGCAUUAAGCACCCCCGGCCUGGGGAGUACGGCCGCAAGGCUG